rnacentral:rRNA from 1 species
UGGGGAAUUUUGGACAAUGGGCGAAAGCCUGAUCCAGCAAUGCCGCGUGUGUGAAGAAGGCCUUCGGGUUGUAAAGCACUUUUGUCCGGAAAGAAAUCCUUGGCUCUAAUACAGUCGGGGGAUGACGGUACCGGAAGAAUAAGCACCGGCUAACUACGUGCCAGCAGCCGCGGUAAUACGUAGGGUGCAAGCGUUAAUCGGAAUUACUGGGCGUAAAGCGUGCGCAGGCGGUUUGCUAAGACCGAUGUGAAAUCCCCGGGCUCAACCUGGGAACUGCAUUGGUGACUGGUAGGCUAGAGUAUGGCAGAGGGGGGUAGAAUUCCACGUGUAGCAGUGAAAUGCGUAGAGAUGUGGAGGAAUACCGAUGGCGAAGGCAGCCCCCUGGGCCAAUACUGACGCUCAUGCACGAAAAGGCGUGGGGGAGCAAAACAGGAUUAGAUACCCCUGGUAGUCCACGCCCCUAAAACGAUGUCAACUAGUUGUUGGGGAUUCAUUUUCCUUAGUAACGUAGCUAACGCGUGAAGUUGACCGCCUGGGGAGUACGGUCGCAA